CUGGCUCAGGAUGAACGCUAGCUACAGGCUUAACACAUGCAAGUCGAGGGGCAGCAUUGGGUAGCAAUACUCAGAUGGCGACCGGCGCACGGGUGAGUAACACGUAUCCAACCUGCCGCUUACUCGGGGAUAGCCUUUCGAAAGAAAGAUUAAUACCCGAUGGUAUAAAGAGUUCGCAUGUUCUCUUUAUUAAAGAAUUUCGGUAAGCGAUGGGGAUGCGUUCCAUUAGAUAGUUGCGGGGUAACGGCCCACCAAGUCUACGAUGGAUAGGGGUUCUGAGAGGAAGGUCCCCCACAUUGGAACUGAGACACGGUCCAAACUCCUACGGGAGGCAGCAGUGAGGAAUAUUGGUCAAUGGACGAGAGUCUGAACCAGCCAAAAGUAGCGUGAAGGAUGACUGCCCUAUGGGUUGUAAACUUCUUUUAUAAGGGAAUAAAGUGAGGGACGUGUCCCUUUUUGUAUGUACCUUAUGAAUAAGGAUCGGCUAACUCCGUGCCAGCCGCCGC
rnacentral:rRNA from 1 species